rnacentral:rRNA from 1 species
UACGGAGGGCGCGAGCGUUAGUCGGAAUUACUGGGCGUAAAGCGCGCGUAGGCUGUUGUGUAAGUUGGGGGUGAGAUCCCACGGCUCAACCGUGGAACAGCCCUUGAUACUGCGCGACUUGAAUCCGGGAGAGGGUGGCGGAAUUCCAGGUGUAGGAGUGAAAUCCGUAGAUAUCUGGAGGAACAUCAGUGGCGAAGGCGGCCACCUGGACCGGUAUUGACGCUGAGGCGCGAAAGCGUGGGGAGCAAACAGG